rnacentral:rRNA from 1 species
AACGAACGCUGGCGGCAGGCUUAACACAUGCAAGUCGAGCGCCCCGCAAGGGGAGCGGCAGACGGGUGAGUAACGCGUGGGAACGUACCCUUUGCUACGGAAUAGCUCCGGGAAACUGGAAUUAAUACCGUAUGUGCCCUACGGGGGAAAGAUUUAUCGGCAAGGGAUCGGCCCGCGUUGGAUUAGCUAGUUGGUGGGGUAAUGGCCUACCAAGGCGACGAUCCAUAGCUGGUCUGAGAGGAUGAUCAGCCACAUUGGGACUGAGACACGGCCCAAACUCCUACGGGAGGCAGCAGUGGGGAAUAUUGGACAAUGGGCGCAAGCCUGAUCCAGCAAUGCCGCGUGAGUGAUGAAGGCCUUAGGGUUGUAAAGCUCUUUUACCCGGGAUGAUAAUGACAGUACCGGGAGAAUAAGCCCCGGCUAACUCCGUGCCAGCCGCCGCAGUAACAC